rnacentral:rRNA from 1 species
UACGUAGGGGGCUAGCGUUGUCCGGAAUCAUUGGGCGUAAAGCGCGUGUAGGCGGUCCGGUAAGUCCGCUGUGAAAGUCGGGGGCUCAACCCUCGGAUGCCGGUGGAUACUGUCGGGCUUGAGUACGGAAGAGGCGAGUGGAAUUCCUGGUGUAGCGGUGAAAUGCGUAGAUAUCUGGAGGAACACCGGUGGCGAAGGCGGCAUCCUGGACCGGCAUUGACGCGUGAGGAGCGAAAGCCAGGGGAGCAAACGGG